rnacentral:rRNA from 1 species
CCUACGGUGGGCAGCAGUGAGGAAUAUUGGUCAAUGGACGAGAGUCUGAACCAGCCAAGUAGCGUGAAGGAUGACUGCCCUAUGGGUUGUAAACUUCUUUUAUAUGGGAAUAAAACAGGGUAUGCAUACCCUCUUGUAUGUACCAUAUGAAUCAGGAUCGGCUAACUCCGUGCCAGCAGCCGCGGUAAUACGGAGGAUCCGAGCGUUAUCCGGAUUUAUUGGGUUUAAAGGGAGCGUAGGUGGAUUGUUAAGUCAGUUGUGAAAGUUUGCGGCUCAACCCGGGCCGGCCGUUGAAACUGGGGAUCUUGAGUGGGCGAGAAGUAUGCGGAAUGCGUGGUGUAGCGGUGAAAUGCAUAGAUAUCACGCAGAACACCGAUUGCGAAGGCAGCAUACCGGCGCCCGACUGACGCUGAGGCACGAAAGCGUGGGGAUCGAACAGGAUUAGAUACCCUGGUAGUC